CCUACGGGAGGCAGCAGUGGGGAAUAUUGGGCAAUGGAGGAAACUCUGACCCAGCAACGCCGCGUGAAUGAUGAAGGUCUUCGGAUUGUAAAGUUCUUUUCUAAGGGAAGAAGAAAGUGACGGGACCGUAGGAAUAAGCCUCGGCUAACUCCGUGCCAGCAGCCGCGGUAAUACGUAGGAGGCGAGCGUUAUCAGGAAUGACUGGGCGUAAAGGGGGCGUAGUGGGUUUGGCAAGUUAGUAGCGUAACUCCAAGGCUCAACCUUUGAACUACUACUAAAACUGUUGGACUUGAGUGCAGGAGGGGCAACCGGAAUUCCUAGUGUAGCGGUGGAAUGCGUAGAUAUUAGGAGGAACACCAGUGGCGAAGGCGGGUUGCUAGACUGUAACUGACACUGAGGCACGAAAGCGUGGGGAGCAAACAGGAUUAGAUACCCUUGUAGUC
rnacentral:rRNA from 1 species